AUCGCUUCUCGGCCUUUUGGCUAAGAUCAAGUGUAGUAAAAAUAAAAAAUAAAAUUUCAUUUUAAUAAAAUUCUGGUUGGCUUAUGUAACAUGCUAAAUUUUUUCUUAAAAGUAAACAUCAGGCAAAACUACUGGCUGGCCUUCCCUGAAACAAUGA
rnacentral:snRNA from 1 species